GCCUGUGAGGGAUACCCGCGAGGGAUCCUGGAGGUAUCAGAAGUGCGAAUGCUGACAUAAGUAACGAUAAAAGAAGUGAAAAACUUCUUCGCCGAAAAUCCAAGGGUUUCUGCGCAAGGUUAAUCCGCGCAGAGUUAGUCGGCACCUAAGGCGAGGGCGAAAGCCGUAGUCGAUGGAAAUAAGGUUAAUAUUCCUUAACCAGAUGGUAGUGACGGAUCUUGUAAGUUGUGAGCUCUUAAUGGAUUGAGUUUGCCGCGAAAAGGUUCCAAGAAAUAGCUCCAUCAUUAGACCGUACCCUAAACCGACACAGGUGGAUUAAUAGAGUAUAUUUAGGCGCUUGAGAGAAUGAUGUUGAAGGAACUCGGCAAAAUGCUUCCGUAACUUCGGGAUAAGGAAGACCUGUUUUUAGGCAACUAGAGAUGGGUGGCACAAGCCAGGGAGAAGCGACUGUUUAUCAAAAACACAGGGCUCUGCUAACACGUAAGUGGAUGUAUAGGGUCUGACGCCUGCCCGGUGCUGGAAGGUUAAUGCGGUUGGUGCAAGCUAACUUCUGAAGCCCCAGUAAACGGCGGCCGUAACUAUAACGGUCCUAAGGUAGCGAAAUUCCUUGUCGGGUAAGUUCCGACCUGCAUGAAUGGCGUAACGAUUUCUCCGCUGUCUCCAACAUCAACUCAGUGAAAUUGAAUUCUCCGUGAAGAUGCGGAGUUCGCGUAGUUAGACGGAAAGACCCCGUGCACCUUUACUGCAACUUUACAUUGGUAUUAGGAAAAACAUAUUUAGUAUAGGAGGGAGACAUUGAAGCAAAGGCGUCAGCUUUUGUGGAGUCACCAGUGAAAUACCUCUUUUGUUUUUCUUGGUAUCUAACUGAUUGCCGUCAUCCGGCAUCAAGACAUUGUAUGGUGGGUAGUUUGACUGGGGCGGUCGCCUCCCAAAUAGUAACGGAGGCGUGCGAAGGUAGGCUCAGAACGGUCAGAAAUCGUUCGUAGAGUGCAAUGGCAAAAGCCUGCCUGACUGUGAGACUGACAAGUCGAGCAGAGACGAAAGUCGGUCAUAGUGAUCCGGUGGUUCUGAGUGGAAGGGCCAUCGCUCAACGGAUAAAAGGUACGCCGGGGAUAACAGGCUGAUACUGCCCAAGAGCUCAUAUCGACGGCAGUGUUUGGCACCUCGAUGUCGGCUCAUCA
rnacentral:rRNA from 1 species